GCUGCCGUAGGUGGUGCGCGGUCGUUUCGGCCCUAGGUAAACGUAACGCUGUCUGAAGAAGCCUCGAGAAGACCCGGACGAGGUGGGGGUUUAUGGGUUUGCAACCUAUGUACUACAUCGUAUUUCUAGUUAUGGCUCCACGACAAAACCCACCUAUGUAACUUCGCGACAUUACUAUGUGUAUCGAAUGUACGAGCCAAUGUCGAUCUACAUACACUUAUAUAGAUGCAACACAAACGUAUAGAUGCAACAUAUGGAAUACGUAUUAUAGGUAUGAAUGUAGUUUGUUUGACAUGGCGGCUGACACGAAAGCGAGACGAAGCAGGAAGACUGUCUGGCAGAAAGUAACAACGUACAGCCUAUUUCCGAAGUAAGCCUUACUCGCCUCUGGCGCGUAUUCUACGUUGACGCCAAUAUGCUCGUCGUCAUCAAGAGGAGGUGAAAUUGAAGCUCAUUUUUUUCCCUCGAAGCUUUCGCAUCUCCAGGACUAAAAGGACAGGCUCGAUGAAUCGGGGCCUAUUAAGCGGCAAUUUUUCCUUUCCGUGAACGGAAUGUUUCUUGUUUGUCCUUGGAGGCUGUAUAAACGACCAUAAAGCAGUUAUCUCCGGCAGAGCCAAUAGAACGAGCUUCCACUAUGACGAAAGCGAGUUCGGCUAGGCCAGAAGCAGGAAACGAGGAACGUGGUGGAAAUUGAAAAUGGGAUGGACGACUAGGCAUGAGGGACAGAUGGCGGCCCGGAUAUAGGAACAGAACUAAAAGUCUGCGGAAAUUACGUGAUCCGCUUUCAAGCCCCUACAAUUUUCGUGGACGUGACCCACGGAUCGAUUUCCGAAAUCGAUCGCAUGGACAUUACUUUACUAGCUACAUACGAACAUUGCAAGCUGAGUCCGUUUAUGCUCCUCGAUAUUUCACCUGUGAUUUCUUCGAAGCGGAUUUCCAUUUUUUCGUGAAAUACUUUUCAAAAACUCGACCAAAAGAUCGAUUACAUGGGUAGAGACUUUGUAUCAACAUCUGCCGCAACCUACCAACGACGGAGUUACGACUUAACGCCUUGGAUAAAACACGAUUCUCGGUAUCGUAACAAAACGAAUAUUUUGCUGCUCCCCUUUGUUGUCAAAGGCAAAUCGCAAAGAGGAUUCCACGACGCUUUGUCGCGGGAACAAAAAGGAAGGAGAAAAUACCGUCGAGCAACCAAUAAGUCGUGCACCCUACGGCGGUUGAUUGUCGUAAUAAGGAAUUUUCAAAAGGAGAGAACGUUUUUUAAAAUAAAUUCUACAGAAAAUAACGAGCAUAAAUUGCAAGCAAAAAGAAAAAGAGAAGAAAACACGAAGGUGGAACGACCUCCCAAAAAGCACGUCCGUGAAUUUUCAUUCCUUCUUAAUUGCGAUUCGACCUCAGGUAUUUGCGGACCAGCGAGAAGGCAUUCGACGAAGAGCGCGUACGAGGAUCCAGUCCGGCGAAUAAAAUUUGUAUCCGCGCCGGUAUGCGCGAAUAAAAGGCGAGACAUCGGACGAGGGGAGGCAGCAGGAUGGCGAGCCGGGCUAAGUAAUUAAGGAAGCUCAUCCUCAGAGACAAUUUAACUUAAUGAGAGUCAGCCAGUUCCACCCUAGCUAUCUCGCCCAACUCCUGCGGAUCUCCUUCCAUCCUCCGUCCCCUCUCCUAUCUUUCUCUUAUUCUAUCUCAAUCCAUCCAGCUUUACCCUCUGUUUUCUCGUUCGUAGUUUCCCCUUUCCAACGCUCGUCCAUCUUGGAAGUAAAAUGUCUACUUUCCAGACGUCCGCCCCUUUUUCCUUUUUCCUCUGUAUCUCACCUCGCAAUCCGUCCAAGAAUUUAGAUAAGACUUUAUUUUAUGCCAGCGCGCCAGCUACUUCGCUUCUCUUCCGUUUCUUCGUCCCACCGUUUCCAUUUACGUCGAGAAAUGGAUAUGACGUCCGAUACGUACAAUUUACCUAUACGGUUUUAAUCCGUACAAUUGUUUCAAACAAUUUUUAAGCAACUUUAUUUUAGAUGCAGAGAUUGGAUCGGAUAACGAAGGAGAAAUUUUCCCUCGAAAUUUCCAAUUCGUUACGUCACUGGUUGCUGCAAAUUGUCGCACAAGGCGCAUUUACGAAUUUCGUUAUAACAUUUUUUAAACGGAGAAACUUUUUUCAGGCCACGGUAAACGCUUGAUCGUCGACAAUUGGACAGUAGGCUUUUUAUAUACGGAAUUCGUUGCAUCAGACCGUAGAAAAGCCUGCGUUUACAUACCAGGAAUUUGUGUUUAGAUCGCUACAUUUGCCGUUCAGCUGUACCGCUCGCGAAAGUUUACUCGAUCGUAGUCGCCGCAGACGGAUCAGAGAAUAGAUAGUGCGCCUGAAAUACGAAAUGCGAACGUCCAGCCGCCAAGAGAAAGAGAACUCGUUUAAUUUUCCAUCGAAUUUAAUUCAUAAAAGCAAAACUGACGAGCAACCGUUGAAUGAAACGUCGAAUUCUAAAUCUCAACGAAAAUACGUACGUAUCUAUGGUUGUUAAAAAUAUAUACACCGACGUGGAGAAAAUAUUUUAUAUUACGUAAUUUAAUCUCAUAAAUAUUAAGCAGAGUUCAUCAUUAUGCAGAAGAUAUCGAAGAGUUUCAUUCGUUGACAUUAAUUUCGAUUCUUAAUUCUCGAGACAUCUUAACUAAUUUGACGUUUAUCUCUCAUCGGAAAUACCUCGCCUUCGUACAACGGAAUUCAGCUUCUCUUAAUUAAUCAUCUCACGGUCGUUUAAAAAUAAUCCUAGGAACUUUGAAAACGUUCGAGCAACCGCGUGAACGUUCUUUCGUUGCGUGAACGAAUUUCCAGGUUGGAGAUAACUGCAACGACAGGGAACAGAGACGAUUAGUUGCGUUUCCAAAGGGUGUGAAGCGCCCAAGACGAACGGAAACGCGCGACUCCUCGAAUUCGGGUGUCGACCGCUUGAAAACGUCUCGCGUUAUUGGUCUCUGCUCGCUUCGAUCGAUCAUAUUCGAUAAAACUCCAGACGCGACUAGGAAACGCGGAGAAGGAGCUCUUCGACCACUCGACCGCCCGUUUUGUAUCCUUCGAGAGAUCGUUCAUCGUAAAACGAAACCCUGACUCUUAAAAAAAAAAAAAAAAAGAAAAAGAGAUGGGCAGGCAGAACGUGGGUAAAAUACACGUGUGAUUUAUGUAGUUCGGAAAAUGUCAAAUUAUCUAGGGAAACUUAUCUCGGACUGACGGAAUAAGCUUUGGUUAAGCGAAGAGACAUCGUCGUUCAUGCUUGCUGUACAAUAUGCACGCUGAGAAGAAUUCUUACGAAGGUACUUUGCGGAGUAUCCGGUUCUUCGAAACGCUAUCGAGGAGUAUGGUCUUUUGCAAGGCUGUGUGGUCGAUGAAACGUUCGCAGGAUUAUCGGCAGAGAUCACGAGUGCAGGGAGUGUCGUAUCUUCGCACUUGUUGCAUUCGAUGCCCUUCGCCUUUAUCGCAAAAUAGGUAACGUUUGGCUAUAUUUUAUCUUGGCCACGACGAUAUAUUUAUCGUUAUGGUUUUCGAUAAACGAACGUUUCUAUGCGAUACCCAUUAUCAAAGCAAAUAAAUUACCAAAUGUCAUAACUACACAAGCGAUACAUCGUUUAACGAACGAUCGAGGAGCUUCGGAGGAAGAAAGGCUCGUAGGAUGAAACGGCGAAUAGCAUCGGGGAUUCUACUCUGUCCCUUUCAUGUUAAUUUUUAAUAUUAGCUUGAAUUAAUAAUAACAAUAGCCGCGAAAGAACUCUGUUUUUUCUGUGUUUACGAAAUAAUUGAGAACGUUAUAAAAUAAUACAACUAGGUAUUUCGCUCGACGAUGCAAUUGCGAAUGGAAUUGCAAAAAUCCGCCGUCAAACGCAAGCAGAUUUAAAUGGGAAAAACGUGCCUCGUCCGGAACGACGUGAUUAUACGAAAGCGCGCCAAGGGGUUAAGAUUUAAGGUAGAAGCGGAGAGGGAUAGGGCAGGCGAUAAAUAACCUUGAGAUCGGCUACUUUGCAUUUUUUCCGCCGGUAAGUUAGUCGAAGCGAGGAAGAUGGGAACGUAGCCGAGUCAUUGGAACUGGCUGCGGGACGAAAGAAGGGAUCGGUUGGGCGAGAAGGGGGAAUCAAAGGGCGGAAUCAUUGUUACGGAAAAUGGAUGGAGAUCCGCGAUGAAAUCUUUUCUGAAAGGUAAAUGGAACGGAGAUGGAAGUCGGGGCAUAAAAGACGAACGACGCGAUUGCGAACCGCGUGUACCUAUAUGCACCGCUGAAUCUCGACCGUGUCGACGUGCGUUCGCUCGAAUUACGAUUCGUUCAACGUUGAUGGAAUCUCGCGAAGCCAGCUCGAUCCUGCGAUAUCAUCGAUCCUACUUCGUUUUCCUUCUUACGUCUCGUUUUAAUAAGAUAUAGCUAUACUCUGAUUACGACCGUUCAUCAAUUAGGUCGUUUGUUUAAUACAGGGCGAUUUAUUAUGUUUCUUUUUCUCCUUGCGCGUUAUACCGUGUGUCUAGGCGUAAUGCUUUUGUCACCUUCCGAAAAUAUUUUAUCGAGAUUAGAAGGUUAGAUUUGUCGCCCUGAAUGGACAGUCCCCUCGAGGGGCAAUAGAUUAAGUAAAUGAAAGUAUUUGGGGGAAAUGCGUUUUAUCCAUAACUUUUAUAUUCUUUAUAUUCUUUGUAGAACAAGGAGCGAAGGUUCCGUUUAAUGCAGAAUAAACUAUAAAGGUUUGUGUUUCUCGAGCUAAAUAAAUUGUAUAUUUUCGAUACUACGGGGUGGCGAGAGCAGAGUGAAAGGGAGGGUUCGAAGCUGAGAUUCGAUCGUAGCGCCAUCGUACGAAGCACGUGAAAGGUCAUUAGCCAAGAAUCGAUAAGGCAGGGAAGGGUGGGUCGAUAAGGUCGGCCGAAAGAAAACAACCCCGUUUCAUUACCCGUAUUGCGACGGCAAAGGGUGAGGUAAUAUAAAUAAAAGGCCUGUUCCACGAAGAUGAAAAGUUAUUUUCCCGGCGAAGAAAAUAGGCGGACGCAUAAACGUUCUUC